AAUAAUAUAUAUUGUUCAUUUUUUAUAAUUUUCAUGCACUAAUAUUUUAUUGAAUAUUUGUGUGCAUGUCGCAACGCACGGGUACGCCUGCGCGCGUCAGCGUGUGUGUGUUUGAGCUUGUAAGUUUUCAUCAUCAGAUCGUGUACUUUUAAUUCGUUUGCGUAUAUUUCCCUUAUAUACAUAUUCCCUUGGAUGAUACUAUAUUAGUUCAGGUGGUUACUUUUAUGAGCUAUUCUAUCCUAACAUUUGGCAAUGGAGGACAUGGACUUGUGAAUUGUAGAUGAUUGUUAAAUUUGGUAUACCAAUGUGGCUUAUACCAGAUCAAUAUGCCACAUAUUUGUGUAUUUUUUUAAAAAAAUGUGAUAUUUUUAACGCUCUUUUAGGUUUCUCAACAAGAAGCCAUUAGAGUGAAGGAAAAGCUCAAGAAAGAAAUGGAGUGCCUUGAAGUUGUGUUCAAGCAAGUUUGAGGUGAUCGUGAUCAUUCAGUUAUUCAACUGAACAAUUUGAACAUUGAAUUUGGUAAUUAAGGAACAUAUUGAUAAAACUUCAAAAGAAUAUGAAAGAUUCUGCACCAAAGUUUCUUAACAGUUUAUACUCACAUUUUUUUUAAAAAAAUACACAAAUAUGUGGCACAUUGUGCAAUAUUUAUGUGGCACAUUGAUGUGGUAUAAGCCACAUUGGUAUUCUUGCAUCUAAAGAAAAUUCUCAAUUCAACCAGAUCGACCUGCACGAGCUGCAUUGGUUUGUAGCUUCAGGUUUAUACUCAUGUCUCCUGUUGUAACUAUUGGACAUAAAUUGUUCUCUAUUUUUAGGAAACGUGCAGUACGCAGCAAGAACAAAUUCAAACAUUUCAGAAGCAGCUUGCAGUUGCGACUGAGAAGUUGAAGGUUAAAAGUUGAAGCAUAUGCUACUAGCAUUCUUUAUGUCUUUACAAACAUGUGCACUGUUCCAUUAUUUGUCAUCUCAAAAUUGAUACAGUUAUUCAAUUAUGUUCUGGGCUCCCACUUGCCAUCUCAUGCUUUUGCAAACACAAGGUAUUGCCGUAUUGAUUCUCUCAACUCUUUUGACUGUGGAAGGCCUUCAAAGACUUCAUGCCUUCUUUGUAACCUGCCAAUUAUUCUAAUCGUUUAGGUUGCAGCAAAGCCCUUGUGACCUCAACAGUAUUUACAGUCAUUUGAAGAGUUCAUGUCCAAGGCGACUGGAAAUGCUGUCAACUGGGUGCAAAUAGUUGGGAUGAAAGUAAUAACUUGUUUUUAAGGAACCAAGGCCACAAAAAUAAACAUUAAGAGGGAGAUCACCACGAUUAGGGCCAGUUGCCCAGAAGCACGCGCCCAGCAUUGAAUCUGGGGUUCCUGAUUGCAGGAGUCCUAAUGGUGCAUACAGUACAGGUUUUAAACCACUUUCUCAUCAGGUUGCAGUUGUUGUAGCUCAUGAAUUAGCUCAUCAAUGGUUUGGAAAUUUUGUCACAAUGGAAUGGUGGACAUAUGUGGCUUAAUGAGGGCUUUGCGACUUGGGUGUCUUACUUAGCUGCAGAUCAGUUCUUUCCUGAAUGGAAUGUUUGGACUCAGUUUCUAGAGGAAUCUACAAUAGGUUUCAAGUUGGAUGCUCUUGCAGGUUCACAUCCAAUUGAGACAGCAAGCUUGCCAAACAUUUAGGAGGAGAGUUCUAGCUCUGGUCAAAAGCAUGGAUUCAGUUGUCAAAAGAGUCCCUUGACAGUACUUAUAACUAAAACUGUGUAUAAAAGGAAUUAGAGAGGAAAAUGUGAAGGAGAAACUCUCCCAUUUUUUGCCAUGUUCCGGCAGCAAAUAUUAUCACUUUGUAUGAUGUUUCCAAUAUCUGGCGCAUUCCUUUGUUGCUACAUGUAUGGUGAAUGGGGUGACCAUGUCACGCUACAAGCAGCUGCUGACAAGAGACUCAGGAUCAGUUCUCCAAGUACUCCUGCACUUGGAACCAUCAACAAAGAGUCAAAGAGUAAAUAUGUUAUUCUACGAUGGUGUUUCAUACAUUAUUUAUCUUUAUGUUAUAUUUUGUUGUAGAUUUUUAAUUGUUAUUUUCUAUUUAAGUAUUGCAUUGUAUGGUUGUUUCCUUGAAACCACAUUCGCGCUCAUCUCUAUAGCAAUGAAC